CCUAUGGCUAUGUACUAGUAAACAUGGUAAACAUGAACAACAUCAUUAUUCAUCGGCAGUUCAUUUUACUCCGAGCUUUUCCUGAAACAUAUAGCCAUGAUGAUUAGGCCUACCAUGUACCAUGACCAAUAACAGCACUAGAUCAUGUAGAUGUCAACAAGUUCACAUGAACCGUAUAAUCCCGCAUGGCGCAUGUGGGGCAUGCGUCUAAACCAAAGCCCCAAAAUCACUUGUUUUGGUCUAUUUCACUUGUGUUUCCCCCGUCUCCCAGUCCAUAAUACAUUUACAGUUUACAAUCCCCGAUCAUGGCCCAACAAAAGGUCAUCGGUUGACUAAAGGAACACAACUGUUCAAUGGAUUUAUAGUUGAAUGCGAUCAAACUACGUCUUUUCAAUCGUGGAUUGUAAAUUUAACCCCAUGGGCCUAGGGAAGGCCCUAUAACAAUACUUUCGACACAGUUAUUAUCUCCGCUGCCUCCACCAUGUUACACACAGUGCUCACUGCUGAUUCUAAAAUGCGCCACCUAGUCAAAAUAGGACAUAUGUUCUUCUAGGAAUAGAUCUCUUUCCAAUAUUUCGUCAUUCCACUAUCGUCAUCACCUCAUCAUACUUUCAUUGACAUUACAGGCACACAUCCACAGAGCACUCUUCAAAUCAUCUACACAGUGGUUAUCCAACUAGGAUUAUAAAGGUACACAUUGACAUAGACCACUGUUGCAGUCAAUGACACAGUCGCUAUCCAAGUAGCAUUAUAGAGCUGUCAUGCAACGCAACAACUGUGCUAUCUGCCAUCGCACAUCAACGAAGAAGUGCAGCCGCCCACAUUCCACCUCACGUCUGUCCGACCAGCUGCAAUCCUCGAGGACGCCCCACUGUACCACGAUUUCACUACGAUGUUUGACAAGAAGGAGCAGUGCGCGAGAUAGGCAAAUGAGCAGA